CAAUUCUAAAAGGACUAAGAGACUUUGGAUUAACCUUGAGCAGCGUUUUUAUUCCCUUGAACACGACUUUUGAUCACAAAACAGCAACGAUGGGUUGAGCUGUAUGGACCUGACUCUGUGUGCACCUGCUGCGACUCCAACUGUAGCUCUGCUGCAUCCACAGUGACCAAGUAAUCAGCAGCAGGCCGUGGACAAUAGAUCCUAAAGGGAAACCCACCACAGCCCUGAAGAGAAAGAAGGUCUCCACAGCAACAACAACAAAAGUGGCACCUCAGCCAGAGACGAAGAGCGAGGUGACUGAGUGGAGGAAAUCUUCUCAGCCUGAAGAGAGAGAGGGUAAGGUGGAGGACUCUGGGGAGGAGUGGCCGAUUGGAGGCAGAGGAGUGACCUGGGUUGAGAUGGAAGGUGAGGAGGAGUUGGUGAAGGGCUCUGCUGUUGUGGAGAAGACGGAGAAGAAGGAGGAGGAGGAGGAGGAGGAGAAGAAGGAGAAGGAGGAGUAGGAGAAGG